rnacentral:tRNA from 1 species
GGCAGUGUAGCAUAGUGGUUAGAGUGUUGGACUGGGACCUGAGGGGCCAGAGUUCAAAUCCCUACUCAGCCA